rnacentral:rRNA from 1 species
GAGUUUGAUCGUGGCUCAGGUUGAACGCUGGCGGCAUGCCUUACACAUGCAAGUCGAACGGCAGCACGGGAGCUUGCUCCUGGUGGCGAGUGGCGAACGGGUGAGUAAUGCAUCGGAACGUAUCCUGGAGUGGGGGAUAACGUAGCGAAAGUUACGCUAAUACCGCAUAUUCUGUGAGCAGGAAAGCGGGGGACCUUCGGGCCUCGCGCUCUUGGAGCGGCCGAUGUCGGAUUAGCUAGUUGGUGAGGUAAAGGCUCACCAAGGCGACGAUCCGUAGCAGGUCUGAGAGGAUGAUCUGCCACACUGGAACUGAGACACGGUCCAGACUCCUACGGGAGGCAGCAGUGGGGAAUUUUGGACAAUGGGGGCAACCCUGAUCCAGCCAUGCCGCGUGAGUGAAGAAGGCC